AUACAUACAACUCUGAGCGGGUGGAUCUCUCGGCUCGUGUGUCUAUGAAGAGUGCAGCCAACUGUGUGAAUAAAUGUGAACUGCAUAGUGCUUUGAACAUCYACCUCUURGAACGCAUAUUGCGGCCACGGGUUAUCCUGGCGCCACCCCGGGUCGGGGGUUGGAU
rnacentral:rRNA from 1 species